AUUGAACGCUGGCGGCAUGCUUUACACAUGCAAGUCGAGCGCGAAAGGCCUUCGGGCUGAGUAGAGCGGCGGACGGGUGAGUAACGCGUAGGAAUCUACCUGGUAGUGGGGGACAACUUGGGGAAACUCAAGCUAAUACCGCAUACGCCCUAUGGGGGAAAGUGGGGGACCUUCGGGCCUCACGCUAUCAGAUGAGCCUGCGUAGGAUUAGCUAGUUGGUGAGGUAAAGGCUCACCAAGGCGACGAUCCUUAGCUGGUCUGAGAGGAUGAUCAGCCACACUGGGACUGAGACACGGCCCAGACUCCUACGGGAGGCAGCAGUGGGGAAUAUUGCGCAAUGGGGGCAACCCUGACGCAGCCAUGCCGCGUGUGUGAAGAAGG
rnacentral:rRNA from 1 species